rnacentral:rRNA from 1 species
UACAGAGGUGGCAAGCGUUGUUCGGAAUUACUGGGCGUAAAGGGCGCGUAGGCGGCCUUCUAAGUCAGACGUGAAAUCCCCCGGCUUAACCUGGGAACUGCGUCUGAUACUGGGAGGCUUGAGUAUGGGAGAGGGAUGUAGAAUUCCAGGUGUAGCGGUGAAAUGCGUAGAUAUCGGGAGGAACACCGGUGGCGAAGGCGGCAUUCUGGACCGGCAUUGACGCUGAGGAGCGAAAGCCAGGGGAGCAAACGGG